GAUGAACGCUGGCGGCGUGCUUAACACAUGCAAGUCGAACGGGAUCCAAGGGGUGCUUGCACUUUUUGGUGAGAGUGGCGAACGGGUGAGUAACACGUGAGUAACCUGUCCUUUUCUUUGGGAUAAGCAUUCGAAAGGGUGUUUAAUACCUUAUGUUCUGUCUGCCUCGCAUGGGGUGGGUGGGAAAGGCUUUGGCCGGAUUUGGGUGGGCUCGCGGUCUAUCAGCUUGUUGGUGGGGUGAUGGCUUACCAAGGCUUUGACGGGUAGCCGGCCUGAGAGGGCGGUCGGUCACAUUGGGACUGAGAUACGGCCCAGACUCCUGCGGGAGGCAGCAGUGGGGGAUAUUGCACAAUGGGCGAAAGCCUGAUGCAGCGACGCCGCGUGGGGGAUGAAGGCCUGCGGGUUGUAAACUUCUUUUGCUCUGAACAAGGCAUGCCAGUGGGUGUGUUGAGUGGAGGGGUUGAUUAGCGCCGGCUAACUACGUG
rnacentral:rRNA from 1 species